UACGUAGGGCGCAAGCGUUGUCCGGAAUUAUUGGGCGUAAAGAGCUCGUAGGCGGUUUGUCGCGUCUGCUGUGAAAUCCCGAGGCUCAACCUCGGGCUUGCAGUGGGUACGGGCAGACUAGAGUGCGGUAGGGGAGACUGGAAUUCCUGGUGUAGCGGUGGAAUGCGCAGAUAUCAGGAGGAACACCGAUGGCGAAGGCAGGUCUCUGGGCCGCAACUGACGCUGGAGGAGCGAAAGCAUCGGGGAGCGAACAGG
rnacentral:rRNA from 1 species